UACGUAGGGUGCGAGCGUUUAAUCGGAAUUACUGGGCGUAAAGCGUGCGCAGGCGGUGAUGUAAGACCGAUGUGAAAUCCCCGGGCUCAACCUGGGAAUGGCAUUUGUGACUGGAAGGCUAGAGUGUGUCAGAGGGGGGGUAGAAUUCCACGUGUAGCAGUGAAAUGCGUAGAGAUGUGGAGGAUACCGAUGGCGAAGGCAGCCCCCUGGGAUAACACUGACGCUCAUGCACGAAAGCGUGGGGAGCAAACAGG
rnacentral:rRNA from 1 species